UGGUGUUAAAUGUUACAUCCUAUUUGUCGACUGAUUAUCAAUAACCAAAGAGGUCCAGAGUCUACGCAGGAAGCAUAAGGUGUGAAAUAGGACAUCCUGGAUGGAGACGUUAUGAAAAUUGGGCUCACAGAUAUUAAUGGAAUCCGGGACGGUUGGACCCAAGUACAGGAUCGUUCAUGUGGUACUGAGGGGUCGGGCGAAGGGUCGGUCGGUCGGCGGAUGGAGUGGCAGCGAGGAUCCAAGGAUGUGGUCGGGGACAAAGUGAAGGGUCGAAAACCGGAGGACUAGGGACAAGGGACAGUUGUCUCAGACGAGAUUCCACAAAGAAAUGGAAAGAUGACUGGAUGAAAUCCUCAUGUGACUGAAAAGCAUCAUAAAAUGAAAAGCAGGCGCAGCUGCCAGAAGCCAGAUGACUGGGUAACCUCUGACAUGUAGGAGGGGAACAAGAAUUCGAGAUUGCAUGUUGGGCAGUUGUAUUUCUCAAAUCUCAAUGUAGUGAACUGAAGGGGAAUUAGGAGGGCGGAAGUGCUGAGAACUUGUUUUUACAGAAUCUGUAUGAUCCAACAAGACCUGGCCUGCAGAGAACAAAAAUGCCAUUUAGAUUUUACUGUGAUGCUUCUUCUUGACCUCUGCAAAUAAUGUAGCAGGAAGAAUAUGGCCAAAUGCUACAUAAAAACGAAGCUGUACUGAGCGUUUUGAACAUAUCAGGAGGGAGACUGAGAGGCUGAGGAACACUGUGUGGACACACAGACUUCUGAUGUGUAUUCGGAAAAGUGCUUCCAUCCAGCAGGAGUUAAUGACUAACCCUGAUUUAUCUGUUCUGCACUGGUUUUAGGGCAACACCAAUAUCCUAGAGUUCCAGGUGGCCUUCACCAUCAAGUUGCGCAUCCUCUUCACAUCUGCCGUGGCAUGUUUUGCGCCAGAAGGAGUCUGUCAGAAAGAUCUCCAGUCAUCACUUCCGACCUACAGUUUGGUGCAUGUUAUGUGGAAUGAUGCUCUUGAUCUUAGGACCAUGUCUAGACGUGCAGAAAGUGCAGGGAGCAGUUCCUGUAGUAGUCGGGGUUGUUAGUAAGUUUCUUAAAACAUAAAGAAGGUUAAAAAAAAAUGAGUUAAUAUAAAAUGUUAGCAUUUUAACCUUUUUCUCAUUUGUACAGGGCACACUUAUACCCCUUCAGAAAGCAAACUAAAUGUAGGUGAUUAUUAGGUUAUUAUUUGGGAAGCCGAGGUGGGCUGGAAAAUUGCUUGCCAAUUGAUUUUGCUAAAUUAAUUACAGUAAAGAAAUUCAAUAAAACAUAACUGAGUUUGGUAUCUCUGUAGAGU
rnacentral:lncRNA from 1 species